UCAUUUUUGUAUAAAGAAAUAUAAGAGAAAAUUUUUCAAAUUCUCUAUUUUCUACAACUAUAUAUCUACUUCAUUUUAUUGAACAUUUAAAGUAUAACUUGAACAAAAGCCUGCCUUAGUUCUAUCUUUAACUAAUGCUGAAGGCCAAAGGACAAUACCCUGUCCUUUGCACAGUUUCUCUGUAGAGUAGAGUCUCUAUAGUUCCAAGGAAAAUAGUACUAUAAUGAUAGCAUAUAAAAUUCAGAUCACUAGGCCAAAAAUACUGGUGAUCACAAAUUGAAGAAAAU
rnacentral:misc_RNA from 1 species